rnacentral:rRNA from 1 species
CUUACGGGAUGCAGCACCAAGGGAUAUAGCGCAAUGGGCGAAAGCCUGACACAGCGACUCCGCGUGAGGGAAGAAGGCCUUCGGGUCGUAAACCUCUUUUCUUGGGGAAGAAUAAUGACGGUACCCACGGCAAUUAGUCACUGCAACUACUUGCCAGCAGCCGCGGUAAU